GACGAACGCUGGCGGCGUGCUUAACACAUGCAAGUCGAACGGAAAGGCCCUGCUUGCCGGGUACUCGAGUGGCGAACGGGUGAGUAACACGUGGGUGAUCUGCCCUGCACUUCGGGAUAAGCUUGGGAAACUGGGUCUAAUACCGGAUAGGAGCCAUCUUUAGUGUGGUGGUUGGAAAGUUUUUUCGGUGUAGGAUGAGCUCGCGGCCUAUCAGCUUGUUGGUGGGGUAAUGGCCUACCAAGGCGGCGACGGGUAGCCGGCCUGAGAGGGUGUACGGCCACAUUGGGACUGAGAUACGGCCCAGACUCCUACGGGAGGCAGCAGUGGGGAAUAUUGCACAAUGGGCGCAAGCCUGAUGCAGCGACGCCGCGUGGGGGAUGAAGGCCUUCGGGUUGUAAACUCCUUUCGCUAGGGACGAAGCGUUGUUGUGACGGUACCUAGAGAAGAAGCACCGGCUAACUACGUG
rnacentral:rRNA from 1 species